UUGUGUCUUUCUGAGGUGAACUUGGUUUGCCUACAUUGCUAAGAAGAACAUUUUAUUUCUUGACCUGAGCAUAAAACAUAUAUGGGUAUCCAUUUUAAAUGUGCAUGGUUACUUCAAGAAGAAUGAAGAAUCUGAGCAACAUAAAAACUAUGUACUUGUAACUUUUGAGUGUUUCCUUUUAUGCGGUUCGAUUUAUAUUGCAAGAUGAGAAGAUUGGUUUGGAUUAAAUGAAUGUAGAAGCAUUGAAGAUGCUAAACAAGAACAAUAAGUUGCGCAUUGAAUGGGUUGAUCGUAGGUAAGGUGCCUUUGCUUGAAGAGUUCCACGGCCCUUCAAACAGGAUCUUUUGAGUUAUGCAUAGAGGGAAAGUAGUUGUGGAGAUUAAUACUGAAUCCCUUUUUUUUACUCAGAAUGUUUCAAAAUAUAUGCUCUAUGUUGGAAUUCAUAGAAAUUAUGAAUAUUUGAUACAUUAGGAGUUUUCGUUUUGAAAUGGACACCCUGAAAAUAAGUUACUUCUCUUUGGUGUUGGACUUAAAUAAACACCCUGAAAAUUUAUCUGUAGGGUUUGAGAUCCUGAUACUUACAUCCAAGGACAAAGACACUUUACCCCAAUUUGACAAGAACUUUUCCUUUUAGUAAUAGUUUAUUUCUUUCAAGAAAUCAAAUAGAAAUGGCAUAAGUUUAGUUUCCAUUGUUUUAUGGUUUCAAAGUAUUAGUUGUAUACAUAAUCAUUUGACACUCUAGUUGACCAGUGCUAGGAAACUGGUAGAGAGAUUGAAUAAACACAUAGAAUAAGUAUUCAAGUUCUAUAUUAGUGACAUGAUUAGAUUUUCUUUUCUGCUCCUUUGCUUUCUUUGUUUAUUUUUCUUCUUAAACAAGAAAAGCAAAGAUAUAAAAGAGAAUGCUUGCCAUUUGCAUGAACCAAUUUAGUACCUCUUAUAUAUUGAGGUAGUGCUUCAUAGAAAAAUAAGUCACCUUGUUGGAUUCAGUGUAAAAUGUUAUGAGUUGAGCUGAUCUGCUUAAAUAUGGGAUUAUGCAGCACAAUUAUUGUACUAUUUUCCCAUUUGCCUGGACUAGAUCCUGUAGGUGCUCUUAGAAAGAUUGAAGUAAAGGCUGUUUGGUUGAGAAGAAAGUAAGAAUUCGUACCAUUGUAAGAUCGUUUUCGGCAAUUAACAUCAGCCAAAGAUCUUGUUUGUAUAGAGCCGGUUGUAACUCUUAUGGACAAUUGCAUUUGUGGGUCGUGUUAAUACGUUGACACUAUGAAUUCUUCUGUCCACGUGUAAUUGCUUAGUGUUAGGAUCGACCUGAUUAAGCAACAAGUAAAAUAAAUAGCGGAAUAAACUGAAAAAUUGAACAUACAAAUUUAACGUUGAAAAACCCUUUCAAAGAGGAUAAAAAGUCACGGGCAAAGAUAAUUUUACUAUAAUGGCAAAAGAACGAAGAGUACAAAAGAUGCAAAUAAAAACUAAACCCCGAAAACCUGAAAACAAAGAACCCUCAAAACGUAAACACAAAAUUCUCUAAAUGUGUUAUGAGUUCUAAACUCUAAUGGAUGUAUUUUUAAAGUUGCAAAAGAACCUAUUUAUAGGCUAAAUUAGUAGGUCAAAUAAAAUAUCCUAAUAAAUAUUAAAUAUAUUAUACUAAUAAAUACUAAAUCUUCUAGAAAGAAUAUAUUUUGUUUAACUUGACUUGCAAGCAAUCUCUUAGAAUUUGAGUCACACAACUUUAACACUUACAGCAUGUUUGGUUGGGUGUAUUGGCUAUAAUCGGUGGGCCCCACUUAAGCCCCCUUUAUUCCGUUGUUUGGUUCAUGGUAAUGCUAUUACGGGUGUAAUACGUUACUUACCUAAUCGGUGAAAUCCACCGAUUUGUAAUGCAUCCCUUUUGCUCAGUUUAGGUCCUGAUUCAAUUUUCUUCCCUGUUUUAGCCUCUCGAUUGACGCUUCUGUCUUACCCAAAGUCUUCUGUUUCUUCCUUCUACCUUUCUUCUCCACUCUCCUCGCCGUUUCUCCUUCUCUUUUUUACCUCUCUUUGGCGUCACAACUAGACUUCGAACACCGAUCAGAAAGCAGCCUCCAUCUCACAGUUUCUGUUCCUCUCCAUCGGUGAAACUGUGUUCUGUCCAUUGGAACCGUUCCCGGUGGGUCGUGCCCAUCGACUGCUAAAAACAAGGGUUAGUGCAAACGGAAGGGUCGGAACAAUAGCUGCUGUAUACACAGCUGCAAUUCUCGAAUACUUGACUGCAGAAGUGCUAGAACUGGCAGGUAACGGGAGCAAGGAUUUAAAUUAUAAAGAUGGAUUCAAACAACUGAUAUUUUGAAUUACAAACUGCUCCCUGAUAGAAAAAAGAGCAUAUUUAUAUAUGUUCAGAGUAUUGAUUUGAGUUAAAUGUUUUGAUAAGUUGUAUUCAUCUUCUUCAAUUUCUUAAAAAUUAUCUGAGUUUCCAUUUCUUUAAAAUUCCUUCUAAAUAACCAUGAGGUGAUGAAAAGGUGCUUCAGAUAGUAGCAAAGGAGUAGGCCAAUAGCAGAUAAAAUAAGGGGUCAUUUUCAAGACAUUUUUGAGCUAAUGGCAGUGGCAAAUCCAUGAAGCUGUGGGUCAAAUGAAGAAAUUGGAACGCGGUUUUACCACGACUCUUUGACAAAACCUAAUCUUCAUAGAUUGUUUGUUGCUUUAGAACUUCUAUUUUGUCAUCUUUUAUUUGAGAUUUCAUUGUAUGGUCUAUAUUACAUUUUGACCAUCGAAUUGUAAAUAAUUACUAUAUAAUUAUUAAUAUCAUUAAUUUAUGACAUUUUAAUUAUUAAA